AACGACACAAACACAUUAGAACAACAUCUUCUUACUUUAACCCAUGAACAAUACAGCAACGACUCCUAAAAAACCCGCCCACGAUAAGAUUACAAAUUGUCACAGCAUCAUCUCCUUCUCUUUCAUAGCCACAAGUUCUUGUUUUCAGUCUCCAUAGAUGUCACCAAUUCUGAUUUCUCAGCUCUUCCUUCAUUUAACUUCACCAAAAUUCUGAUUUCCCAUUUCUUACAUCUUCUUCUCUCUGUAUCUAUCCCUCUCUCUAUUCUGC
rnacentral:lncRNA from 1 species